AAAAAACAGAAAGUUCACGAGUCAACCAUAGUGUUAAUUGAUUUGAGAAGAAGAAGGAAUAGAAGUAGAAAACAGAAGCAGAAAAAAGCAAAAAGGAUUGAAAAACGAAUUUACUAUGAAAUUUGGAGCCGUUUGAGAAAUUUGCAGGUUGCCAGAAUUUGGGAAUACCUUGCAGGAAAACACAUCCCUCACCAGAAUGUUCACCGGAUUCUGGAAAAUCCAAAAUCCCGAUUAGGACGUUGCAGGAGGAACAAGAAAAGAUAUUGGAGGAGGUGCGGAAGGAGCGAGAGAGGUUGACCGAGAGAAGUGUAUCUGCGAUUUGAUUGAGACAUGUCCAAUUGUAUGUUAUUGUUAUUGUUUGUGGAUUUUAACUUUUAUAUUGUAUUUGGUUUUCUUUAUGAUGUAGAAACUGAAAUCAAAUGGUGUACUCAACCACCCGAAUCCAUAUCAGUUGCACAUGCCUGGGAAAGUAGUUAAGAGAGUUUUUAUGGGUGGUACAAGCACGAAAGAUAGUUUCUGCUGUCUCCGUUCACAAUAUUAAGACCACAACACCUCAACUAGAUAACACUGAAAGAUUAUCUAGUAUGAUAGACAAGAUUCCAGAAUUCUCUUCGUUUGAAUUAAAAACAUGAACCAAAACAUACUUUAUGCUUUAUAAGAGUUAUAUUUUGGAAUUAUUGAAGCGAAAUGAUUGGUUGUAAAUGCCCGUAAUAUAAAUGUGGUGCUGGGUCCUGCAUGAGACAUGUGUUGAAAGGAAAUUGAAAAUGUAUUAUUUCAUAGAUCUAUUAAACGUUCAAUUUCAAGGCAAUUCAGCAAAAAGUAUCCAUAUGCAAAUACAAAACAAGUUCGUUAAGAAGAAUAAAGAAUGUUACAUGUCACUGUUUAUCCAUAAUGUAUUCGAAGUGUUUCUCAAGGGUAGCUACCAAAAUACGGCAAAUAUGUCUCUCAUGUCCCCAAUCAACCCAAUGGUGGAGAUUGAAGAUCACUAUGAUCUAUGGAAAAAAAAUUUAUCUCCUCAUAUAACUUUUUCUACUAAAAUGAAACUAUGGAAAAAAAAUUAUCUUCUCAAAGGUGACAAAGAUCCCUCACGCGGAUCCAACACAUGAUUGCCUUAAAGGGCAGCCAUGAUCCUCUUGGGGUCUAGUGUUUUGGUCGCCUAUAAGGUUGGUAAGGAUCCUUCUUGAAGAUCCAGAGUUUUUAUUUCCUCUAAGGGUGAAAAUGAUCCAUCUUGGGGAUCUAUAAUUUUGCUUGCCUAUAAGGGAAGUAAGGACCCAUCUUUGGGAUCCAUCGUGUUGAUCGCCUCUAAGAGCGGAAAAGAUCCCUCUUGAGGAUCCAAUAUUUUUAUUUCCUUUAAGGAUGGAAAGGAUUCCUCUUGGUGACUCAUCAUUUUGCUUGCCUCCAAGGGAGGCAAGGAUCACUCUUCGAGAUCCAACGUUUUGAACACCUAUAAAGACGACAAGGAUUUUUCUUAGGGAUCCAACAUUCUGAUUUCCCAUACGAGCGAGAAAGAUCUUUCUUAAGGAUCUAUCAUUUGAUCGUCUCUAAGAGAGGCAAAGACCCCUCCUGGGAAUCCAACAUUUUGAUUAUCUUUAUAGGCGACACAAAUCUGUCUUGGGGAUUCAACAUUUUGAUUGCCUCUAAGAGAGGCAAUGGUUCCUCUUAAGGAUCCAACAUUUGAUCGCCUCUAAGAGUGAAAAUGACCCCUCUUGAGGAACCAUCAUUUUGAUCGCCUCUAAGGGUGGUCUUCUUAAGAAUAAUAGAAGAAGAAGCCUCAUUAAAAACCCUCGCCUAAUACAAGGUUGUUUUAUUGACGUGACCACUAAGAUAAGUAUGUCUAUCAUGCCCCCGAUCAAACCAAUGAUGGAGAUUGAAGAUAACCAUGACAUGUGAUUACAAUGCUGUACUUUUUCUACGAAAGUGAAACUAUGGGGAAAUUUGUAAUUGGUUCACAUUGAUUUAGUUUGUAUUAUAAAUAUUAUAGGAAUAUAUAAUCUUAUAUAUUUUUUGGUAAAUAUUUUUUUUAUGAAUAAUAAAUAUACCAUUUUAUUUUAAUAAAUUUUUAAAAAAUAUAAAACAUAUAAUAUUUUUAUCCCAAAUAUUAAAAGCAU